rnacentral:rRNA from 1 species
CAGCAGCCGCGGGAAUACGUAGGUGGCAAGCGUUGUCCGGAAUUAUUGGGCGUAAAGCGCGCGCAGGCGGAUAGGUCAGUCUGUCUUAAAAGUUCGGGGCUUAACCCCGUGAUGGGACGGAAACUGCCAAUCUAGAGUAUCGGAGAGGAAAGUGGAAUUCCUAGUGUAGCGGUGAAAUGCGUAGAUAUUGGGAGGAACACCAGUGGCGAAGGCGGCUUUCUGGACUGUAACUGACGCUGAGGCUCGAAAGCCAGGGGAGCGAACGGGAUUAGAUACCCGUGUAGUCCCUGUCUCUUAUACA